rnacentral:rRNA from 1 species
GUGAGGUGGAGCAAAACUCAAAAACUUAGUNUCAGUUCGGAUUGUAGGCUGAAACUCGCCUACAUGAAGCUGGAGUUGCUAGUAAUCGCGAAUCAGCAUGUCGCGGUGAAUACGUUCCCGGGCCUUGUACACACCGCCCGUCACACCAUGAGAGUUGGCAAUACCCAACGUACGUGAUCUAACCCGCAAGGGAGGAAGCGUCCUAAGGUAGGGUCAGCGAUUGGGGUGAAGUCGUAACAAGGUACC